rnacentral:rRNA from 1 species
UUGAUCCUGGCUCAGGAUGAACGCUAGCGGCAGGCCUAAUACAUGCAAGUCGAGGGGGAUUCAGCUUUCGGGCUGAUGAGACCGGCGUACGGGUGCGUAACGCGUAUGCAACCUACCUCUGUCAGGGGGAUAGCCCGAAGAAAUUCGGAUUAACACCGCAUAACACCAUCUGAUAGCAUUAUCGGGUGGUCAAAUAUUCAUAGGACAGAGAUGGGCAUGCGUGCCAUUAGCUAGUUGGCGGGGUAACGGCCCACCAAGGCGACGAUGGCUAGGGGAUCUGAGAGGAUGGCCCCCCACACUGGUACUGAGACACGGACCAGACUCCUACGGGAGGCAGCAGUAAGGAAUAUUGGUCAAUGGAGGCAACUCUGAACCAGCCAUGCCGCGUGCAGGAAGACAGCCCUACGGGUCGUAAACUGCUUUUGUACGGGAACAAACCUCUCUUCGUGAAGAGAGCUGAGCGUACC